rnacentral:sRNA from 1 species
AAAGGAAAAAGUCAAGGUGGUCGAGGAUACGGACGAGGAAGAGGCAGAGAUCGGUUUGGGAAUGCACAAGGCAACAGAGACAUGACAAACGUGAUUUGCUAUAGGUGUGAUAAGCUAGGACACUAUGCUUCCGACUGUCCCGAUAGAUUGCUUAAACUUCAAGAAACACAAGAUGUUAAGAAUGAUGAUACACAAAAGGCUGACGCAUUAAUGAUGCACGAAGUAGUGUU